rnacentral:rRNA from 1 species
GACGAACGCUGGCGGCGUGCCUAAUACAUGCAAGUUGAGCGCUGAAGGUUGGUACUUGUACCAACUGGAUGAGCAGCGAACGGGUGAGUAGCGCGUGGGGAAUCUGCCUUUGAGCGGGGGACAACAUUUGGAAACGAAUGCUAAUACCGCAUAAAAACUUUAAACACAAGUUUUAAGUUUGAAAGAUGCAAUUGCAUCACUCAAAGAUGAUCCCGCGUUGUAUUAGCUAGUUGGUGAGGUAAAGGCUCACCAAGGCGAUGAUACAUAGCCGACCUGAGAGGGUGAUCGGCCACAUUGGGACUGAGACACGGCCCAAACUCCUACGGGAGGCAGCAGUAGGGAAUCUUCGGCAAUGGACGAAAGUCUGACCGAGCAACGCCGCGUGAGUGAAGAAGGUUUUCGGAUCGUAAAACUCUGUUGGUAGAGAAGAACGUUGGUGAGAGUGGAAAGCUCAUCAAGUGACGGUAACUACCCAGAAAGGGACGGCUAACUACGU